GGUUUCGUAGUGUAAUGGUUAUCACACAAGACUCUGAAUCUUGUAAUCCGAGUUCGAUUCUUAGUAAGACCU
rnacentral:tRNA from 1 species